rnacentral:rRNA from 1 species
AGAGUGAACGCUGGCGGUAGGCCUAACACAUGCAAGUCGAACGGCAGCACGGUAAGAGCUUGCUCUUAUGGGUGGCGAGUGGCGGACGGGUGAGGAAUACAUCGGAAUCUACCUUUUGGUGGGGGGAUAACGUAGGGAAACUUACGCUAAUACCGCAUACGCCCUUCGGGGGAAAGCCGGGGACCAGCAAUGGCCUGGCGCUGAUAGAUGAGCCGAUGUCGGAUUAGCUAGUUGGUGAGGUAAUGGCUCACCAAGGCGACGAUCCGUAGCUGGUCUGAGAGGAUGAUCAGCCACGCUGGAACUGAGACACGGUCCAGACUCCUACGGGAGGCAGCAGUGGGGAAUAUUGGACAAGUGGGCGCGAAGCCUGAUCCAGCAAUGCCGCGUGUGUGAAGAAGGCCUUCGGUUGUAAAGCUAACGUUUAAGUUAGGAAGUAAAAAACGUACGACUACGUAACACGAGUGAGUCGUUGACGGUACGACGAAGAAUAAGACACCGGCUAAC